rnacentral:rRNA from 1 species
UACGAAGGACCCGAGCGUUAUCCGGAUUUAUUGGGGUUAAAGGGUGCGUAGGCGGAUUAAUAAGUCAGUGGUGAAAGCCCAUCGCUUAACGAUGGAAUUGCCAUUGAUACUGUUAGUCUUGAGUAUGGUUGAGGUGGGCGGAAUGUGUCAUGUAGCGGUGAAAUGCUUAGAUAUGACACAGAACACCAAUUGCGAAGGCAGCCCACUAAGCAAUGAUUGACGCUGAGGCACGAAAGCGUAGGGAUCAAACAGG